rnacentral:rRNA from 1 species
CCAGACUCCUACGGGAGGCAGCAGUGGGGAAUAUUGCACAAUGGGCGCAAGCCUGAUGCAGCGACGCCGCGUGCGGGAUGACGGCCUUCGGGUUGUAAACCGCUUUUGAUCGGGAGCAAGCCUUCGGGUGAGUGUACCUUUCGAAUAAGCACCGGCUAACUACGUGCCAGCAGCCGCGGUAAUACGUAGGGUGCAAGCGUUAUCCGGAAUUAUUGGGCGUAAAGGGCUCGUAGGCGGUUCGUCGCGUCCGGUGUGAAAGUCCAUCGCUUAACGGUGGAUCCGCGCCGGGUACGGGCGGGCUUGAGUGCGGUAGGGGAGACUGGAAUUCCCGGUGUAACGGUGGAAUGUGUAGAUAUCGGGAAGAACACCAAUGGCGAAGGCAGGUCUCUGGGCCGUUACUGACGCUGAGGAGCGAAAGCGUGGGGAGCGAACAGGAUUAGAUACCCUGGUAGUCCACGCCGUAAACGGUGGAUGCUGGAUGUGGGGCCCGUUCCACGGGUUCCGUGUCGGAGCUAACGCGUUAAGCAUCCCGCCUGGGGAGUACGGCCGCAAGGCUAAAACUCAAAGAAAUUGACGGGGGCCCGCACAAGCGGCGGAGCAUGCGGAUUAAUUCGAUGCAACGCGAAGAACCUUACCUGGGCUUGACAUGUUCCCGACGGUCGUAGAGAUACGGCUUCCCUUCGGGGCGGGUUCACAGGUGGUGCAUGGUCGUCGUCAGCUCGUGUCGUGAGAUGUUGGGUUAAGUCCCGCAACGAGCGCAACCCUCGCCCCGUGUUGCCAGCGGAUUAUGCCGGGAACUCACGGGGGACCGCCGGGGUUAACUCGGAGGAAGGUGGGGAUGACGUCAGAUCAUCAUGCCCCUUACGUCCAGGGCUUCACGCAUGCUACAAUGGCCGGUACAACGGGAUGCGACGCGGCGACGCGGAGCGGAUCCCUGAAAACCGGUCUCAGUUCGGAUCGCAGUCUGCAACUCGACUGCGUGAAGGCGGAGUCGCUAGUAAUCGCGAAUCAGCAACGUCGCGGUGAAUGCGUUCCCGGGCCUUGUACACACCGCCCGUCAAGUCAUGAAAGUGGGCAGCACCCGAAGCCGGUGGCCUAACCCCUUGUGGGAUGGAGCCGUCUAAGGUGAGGCUCGUGAUUGGGACUAAGUCGUAACAAGGUAGCCGUACCGGAAGGUGCGGCUG